AACACUGCAACCAGUACCACUGGUGCACAGACAGGAAAGAAUUAAAUUCAACGGCAGCAACUCAACCGCAAGAACUUAAACUGGAAAAUUAAUCAACCAGUACCACUGGUGAGUCACAGGGAAAAAUAAUCAAGCGGCCAAUAAUUCAAUAAAUAACAGAAAAUACCCCCACUAUGGCAGCAAUUAAACCCAAUUCUGUCCAAAAAUCACCCCCAGAAUAUGCCUAAAUCACCCCUGCUAUUAGCUAUAAAGAAACUCAAACUCAGGGUGGACUGGAACGACUCAACCAAAAACGCCCAAUAGGCACAACUCGCUUAAUUAGGCAAUCCAGAACACAGGAUUAUCAGAUAUUAAACAACUACCAUCACCAGUACCACUGGUGAGUGCAUAGGGAGAAAUUAAAGCAAAUAACCAAUCCAGUGCACAAAAUAGAUUCGAACACCCAAACAGCGCCAAAAAUGAACGGAAAUUAAAGCCAGAAGCAAUGGUCAACUAACUCCCAAAGUACCCCAAAUAUCGCAGCAGUUUAACUCAACUCUACCCAAAAUUAGACCAGAAAAUGCCCAAAAUUACUGCCCGCUGUUUUCCAACAAGAAGCCCAAGCAAAGGUGCAAAAUUUUCGCAAUUUAGGGUUCAGAAUAAGACAAAUUGAGGCAGGAAUCGCAAUACCUCCACCUGCCAACAAUUGACAGGUGGUAACGAGCUAGGGUGGAGCUGGCGGAGAUGAGAGCUCACGAGCUGGUGGUGGGCUGGUGGACUUCGUCGACGAGCUGCAGGGGGGUGGGGCAGCGGCGAGUGGCGAGAGCGAGCAGCGGCGUCUGCUGGGAAGAGGCGCGAGGUGGGUGCUGCCUCUGGUGCUGCUGGAGGCGGAUGAGCUGGGUGGAGCGGCGAGGUUGGAGGCGGACCGAGGAGCUGUGGAGGACGCCAGGGGGAAAAGGAGGUAGAUGCGGCGGUCGUAGCUGGAGUGGAAGCAUCGAGGGUCGGCGAGGUGCGAAGUGGAUGGCCGGCUGGUCCAUUGCGCGAGACGCGAGGUGGCGGCCUUAAGGAGGUGGGCGGCGCUGGACGCUCGGCUGCUGGACACGGCUGGCGGCAAAUCGAAGGGAGGAGUAGCGGAGCUGGUGGUGGUGGCGUGCGUGAUGUGGGAUGCGGCGUGAGUGGGCGGCGGGCAAGGGAAUUCGGGCAACAGAGAGGGAACAGAGGAGGAAGAAAAGAAGAAGGAGGAAGAAGAAAGAAAGAAAAAAAAAGAAAGAAAAAGAAAGAAAAGAAAAGAAAGAGUUUUUUUUUUUUUAGAUUGAGAAACCUAGCUACGGUUGAAAAAAUUUUUCUUCUUCUUUUUUUUUUUUUGGUUUUUUUUUCCUCUGCGGAAAUCAAUUUUUUUUUUAAAUUUUUUUUUUGAAUUUUGGAAAUUAAAGCUACAGUAAUAAGAAAUUUUUUUUUUUUUUUAAAAUCCUUACCUUUCCCGCGAACGUGACGCGGGCGCGUCAAGAGGUCAAGAGAGCUCCCAGAAGUUGCAGAAAUUCCUGAUCGUGAGCGUCCUGCACAUCACCACGCGGGCGCGUCAUGACUGAAGGUCACCUACAAAUCAGCAAAAACGAAAAUUAACACCCAAAAUCAGUCAAAUUCAAGGAAGACAGAUUUAAACUAACAAAUAAAAUCAAACAAACAACUAAAAGAAAUUGGGUUGCCUCCCAAUGAGCGCCUUUCUUUAAUGUCUUUGGCUAGACAUUAUCAUGUUUUGCUCAUGGAGGAUAAAAUCUUGUGGCUCGCUUCAAUGCUUCAUCUUCAACGUGAUCCUGGUAACCCUCAUAGAUGGAGUAAUUCUUGGGCACACGAGUUACGGGCUUCCAUGGACUAGUAAAUGGCGCUAAACAAGUCAACAAUGAUUUGCAUUCUCCACUCACUCCUCCAUCACACGCAUUCAUUGGUUCAAGAUAUUUUUCCAUUGCCACUCUUAACUUAUUCCUGUCAUGAAAUUUCAAAUUUUCUGGUAUAAUAAAAUCAAUUUCAGUAACAGGAAUUGAAGAAGAUGAAUUAGGAAAAUAUUGAUUAAGGAGUGGAGAAGAUGUCACCGCAUUUGGAAAUUGUUCACUGGAUUCAUUCACUUGAAUAAUUUGAUGUUGGAGUCCCAUGUCUUCCGCUUCAACUUCCUUUUCAACUGUAUCUUUGGAUCCUCUUUCUUGAGACUCUUGCAGUUCCAUAUCACUUGUCAGGAUAAUUGCACUCUCACCUUUCUUAGAGUCAUUGAUGGUCUGUGAGGGCAAGUCUGACAUGAAUGACGAUUGUUGAGACUCUUGCAGCUGAAAACUCAUUGGCCCCUCUUCAUAAUUAACGUUAGAGUUAUCCCACCAUCCUUGAUCAUAUCGGUUUGAAUAAGGGUCAUACCACGUUUGAGAUCGAGGUGAAGAAUCUCCAAAUUUUUUUUUGAGAUAGUCACUCAGGUAGUCUUGAUAUUCGGGGCACAUACCGGUUGAAUGAUCCCUGGCAUAACAAAUUUCACAGGUUGCAGCAGCCAUUCUUUCUCUAACAGAGUUUAGUGCCUCUGCAUAUGCAGACCUCACAAAAAAACUAGCCUCAUUGCCUUCCCCGGAAAUAAAAUCCAGUAUAUCACCAAAAUACGGAGUGUAAGAAGCCAUAAACUAAAUAAAAAAAAUGUAAACAAGAUGAAUUUAAAAAGAAACAAAUAACUAGCGCCAGUCCCCGGCAACGGCGCCAAAAAUUGACAGGUUGUUAGCCUGUGCAAUAAUAAAUACCUGCUCAAACUAAAAAUAAUUUCUGUAGAUAGUGGUGAGCAGGGUCGAAUCCACAGGGACUGGGAGUAAUUGUUUCUUUUCAAGUUCACAGUGACAAGGGGGUGUUUUUGUGCAGACAGUGACAAUCAAAUAAAUUCAAAUAAAAUCUAAGAAACUACUAAAAAUUAAAUAACAAAUUACUAAAAUCUAAUGAGUGAUAAUUAAGGAUCUAGCCAAGGAAUAACUUCAGCAAUGGUUCACCUAAUUGAUCAUCGAUAAGCAAAGGCAAUUCCAAUUAUUUACUAAUAAAUAGGUUAUAACUGCCAAACAAGCGAUGGCAGUCAACCCCUCCUUACUGUGUCGGUGAUCAAGGUACGCCCGUUAAUCACUACUCUAAUUGAGAAAUAAUCUUAGGUACGCCCGUAGAAUUUAAUUCCCCAAUUGCCUUACGUAUUAGAGGAGCCCUAUUCUAAUCAAAUAACGCACUACCAGGGUUAUUUUAGGUUAGCCCGCGUAUUCCCCUGACACAAACCCAAUCAUGCCAGUUAUCACUAUUUUGAGACAGUUAAACAAUUACGGAUUUAACGUCCCAAUUGAUAAUAGAUUAUCAAAUUAACUAAUUAUCCGAAUCCAAAACAAUCAAUUAAUUAAGCAAUCAUAAGCACUGUAACCAGGGAAUAAGCAAAUACCAAUAAAUAAAAGGAAAAGAUUAAAUUAAAUCGAUCUCACAAUUUUUAGGCGAAUCAAAGCCUUCAUUGCUCCUUGACUAGAAGGGAAAAGUUAGUUCAUAUUUGAUGAACAAAACCCGCAAAAAAUUGAAGCCAGAGCUGCGGCCAUUAUCACUGAUAUUGGGAGAGUUCAAGUCGCUUCAAUCGAUGAGAAAAGCGAGAUACAGCAAUUGAUCCAAUUCUUCCUAAUUGUCUAGUCAAACGAGAAGAAAACAACUAAGGAUGAAAAGCAAUAGUCAAAAAGUCAAGCUAGCUACAAGACGAAAAGACUAAGAAGAGAGUCAGUGCUCUUCCUCUGCAAUUCCCAUAUUUCCUAUCUAAGUGCUUCCUCUCCUGAGCGGCGUCCGCCGCACCAGAGAAAAGAAGACCUUGAGGUUUGCUUUCUUUUUCCUUUUUCUAGUUGCUGUCUUCGGUCAAAAUUACCAAAAAGGUCUUGCACCUCCUUGUUCCAAGAAUGCCCUUGAUUGCCUGCUAUUUGGACUCUUUCCUGAUAAGUGUCAAACUGGCACUUAUUAUGGUAUUUUCGUUCUACUCCCUGAAAUAUAUGCCAAAUACUAAAAGUGAGUAGAAUCUAGCAAUUAAUUCACAUCAGGUCAGGUAAUAGGGGAAAUUAAUUAUAAAAUAAAUGAUAAAAUUGCAACCUAUCACUAACCACUACCAUUCUUCUCACAGUCUCAACUAGGGGUGGCAAUGGGGUGGGGGUAGGGCUGGGGAUCGCUCCCCCACCCCUCGCCCCGCCCCGCCCCGCCCCGUCUCCCCAGCCAGGCAUUUGUGGGAUUAAAAAAAAUUUAUUAUAUAAGUUCAUUAUAAUUAAAUUUGAGAAAAUAAUCAAGUACUAAAAUAUCAAUUUAUUACCAAAUUAUUAUUCAUUGAAACUUCACAAUUGAAACUCAUAAAAAUAAUUAAACAAAAGUUAUUUGAAUACAAUCUAAUACGAUAAAACAAAUAUAACUAAAAUAAUCAAGUUUUUACUUUUGAUACAAAUACAAUCACUAAAUUAUUAUUGUAUUUUUUUAGAAAAAAUGUUAUUGUAUUAAGUGUAGUUAGGAAUUUAAUAUAAAUGUAUUAAUAAAUUUAGUAUAAAUAAUUAAUAAUUUUUAUUUAUAAAUAUGCAUAAUUAGUAAUAUAAUUAAUACUAUAAUUAUAUAUAUAAUUAUGCACAUAUAUAUAUAUAUAUAUCUUUUUUUUUCUUUUUUUUUUUUUUUACAAAUGGGUACUCUCCCGCCCCAAUAGGCACCCGCACCCGUUGCCAUCCCUAGUCUCAACCCCCAUGAAAAUUGUUGGAGGUCAUUGUAGAAAUUCUCUUAAUGCGGGCAAAAUUAGCAGAUAGGAUCCAACUUGGUCCACCUACAACCCCCCAACCCAAAUAAGGUGUGACUUCUUGCGUUGUCAGGCCAUAGGACCAUUGCACCCUCUUGGAGGACCUUGCACCUGGUCCAUAGCACUUGUACUCCCCGUAGAACACCGUCCUGGAGCCCAAGAUUAGGCGUAGUUAGACGCUUGUUCAUUUAAUCAGCAUGUGUUCCCUUCAGCGGAUCAACCACAUUAGUUUCCAAUUUAAGUAUAGUAGGAUUGAUCGAUUACCAGAAGGCCGCAGCCAAAAUCUAAUGCAUAAGAUAUUGGAAAAUUUCCAAUAUAGAUUACCUUUGUUUGGAAGAGCUGCCCCAAUCAUCUCAUCCCUGAGGCAUAAUCACGUUUGACAUGUAACAGAGGGCGAAUACGACCCUGGAGUAAUCACCCCAUGGUCGUCCCGGUAGGGCACUUUUUGCCCCGCUAACUUUACAACCCACAAAGAUGAAGCCUGUUUCCUGAGAUGAUGACUGCCUAGGUUGGGAAGUUAUUGCCCCAUUUCCUUGAGACACUGAAUGCAAAUGACAUUUCUGCAUAACAAAAUUUAGUCGUAGACAUUAGACAAACGCUAAAAAUCCAGUCCCUGGUGCUCAUUCCAGUCAUGGUACCUUGAAGACUCAAGCUGCAAUUCCACAUCUGAAAUCAGUGUCCCCUUCGAUGUAGCAGUUUCUGUGUCAUCCAACAGUGUAUCCUGGUGAGAUAGAAUUCUACAUGAGAAGAAUGAUACCCUAUCGGCCGAAGCCCUCAGUGCAACUGCUUUGGCUCCCGGGCCAUGAGUGUUCUAUUCUAGCAAAAGAAUCAUGUGAAAAAAUCAUGAGUGUCACAGUUUUAAGAGGUUCAGCUUCAAUUUUCCUUUUCUUUAAUAAGUUCGCAAAGGUUCACCUCUUAUAUUCAUGUAAAUUACUACCAUUAUUUCUGCUUGAACUCGCAAUGAGUUUCAUUUUAAACCGUCAUUAAUUAAUAACGGGAAAAAGGAAAAAAAAAAAAAAACUGCAUAUGAAAUUUAUGAAGAAAACUGGUACCUGAAUGGUUAGUUACCUGCCAAUAAAAUCAGAAGCAAGAAGGGUUACAGUUGGAAAACCAAAUAUGUCCCCAUAAGCGUUGUAUACAUGUUAUUAUGGUUGUACCAGGUUUGAUGCCACUCAGAGUUAUGAAGGCUUUGUUUGGCGGCACAGCAAUUUUUUCUUUGUAGGUUCCAGCGUUGACCAGUAUAUAAACAUGGUGGGAAUUAUUGAACGGUUCAGCAUCAAUGGCAUCUUGUAUUCUGUGGUGAUCUCCUUUUCCGGACUGGUCGACGUUCAUAACAAUGCUGGCCGUCGAAGUCCCAUUACAGAGAAAGGAUAAAAAUGUUGAAAGGAAGAUGAAAACAGGAGUGUAAACAAGAAGCACCGUUUUUAUUCCUGAACGAAAGAUCAUGAAUACGUGUUUGUUUGUACUAGCACUACUAGCUACGCAGGUGAAUUAUUUAUAACUGAAGAACUUUUCAAGGGCAUUUUGCAGAAAAAGACUCUGGUUCAUUGAACCAGGAUCGACAAUGUUCUCCAUACAGCCAUUCCGUAUAUAUAUGGUGUCAGAAAUGGGAAAUAGUCCUUCUUCUUUCAAAAGGACAAAAGGUUGAUGUCAUCAUGCCAUGUUUUGGUAUAUACGAUUGAAGCAAGCAAGUUUGAGUACUUGUGGCUUGCAACCAUACCAUUGCGGGAAAAUAAAGGUAGGUUCCCUUGACAUUGAGUCAAUAAACCAAAAAAAAAAUGGAUCUUUCCGGAGUGAGAGAACAAUGAACUGGCCAAGUUCAUGGAUCUGCAGCGACAGUGGCGAUUGGAUUGGGAACUCAUCAAUUCAUGGAUAGGACUAUGCACAUUUUCUGGGCUUGGGCUUUGUUUACCGCGUGGCCACGUCAAUGAUCAUGGGUAGCUCUCAUUGACUCCUUCUUGUUUCUAAUACUUGUAGUAUUUUCCAGUUCUACCAUUUUUUUCCAAGAAACUUGUCACUCUCCUCUUUCUUUCUCAGCUUAUGCUACUUUUCUUUCUUCUGUCUCAACAAGAGGGGAGAUCAGCAGAUAUCAUGGAUCUUUUUCCUACCUAGAGUCGUAAUCUUCAUCUGUUAACAAUGGCGAUUUCUUGUUUUUCAUUUCGCAUUUUCUGCAAGAUAUAUAAGAAGCAAGCUAACUCUGUGAAGAAAACUCGGACAGGAUGAAGUUCCGUUCUUCUUCUUACCUUUGCACAGGACAGCUCGAGAACCACUCGAGUUAGCUGGUACUUAGUACCCGUAACUUGUUUGUUUGUGCAUAUUUCAAAGAAGAUGGAAGCCAGGACAGAAAUCUAGAACGCAACUUUUGUUUUUUCUUCUUUUUUUUGGGUUCAACUUGAGAAGGGUGAUCAUCCUAAAUUUCCUUACAAUUUUGCCAACUACACGCUAGCUUGUAACUGUGUUAGAGUAAAUGCUUCGACCCUUGAAACUCUUCCCCGAAAGCUUUUUUUUUUUUUUUUUUUUUUUUUUUUUUUUUUUUUCCUUUUGAUUUUUGUGAAAAAAAAAAUGAGGGGAUUGAAUGGUAUAGAUGAACGGCAAAAGAAACCAAUAUGAAAAUCCUCUCCGGCACAAGCAGUUGAUACCUUUCCCCAUUAAUAUUCAAUGCUCUAGUGCUACACAUAAAUAUUUAAGCAUCAAAAUUACCAGAGAGAAAAUUUAGGCCAUCUACAUUGGCUUUGAAUUCGGAUCACUUAGCACUUAAUAUUUACAAGUAGUCACUCCACCACAUAUCAAUUCUGUCUGAAAUGUCGGCCUUAGCUGGGAAGGCUUCUGUAGAAGACGUGAUGAUGCACUUCUGGAAGUAGGGACUGCAAUUUGGUACAUGUCGUUGCUCGCUCAUAACUCCCCCUAAUUGUGGUCUAAAUUCUGCUAUUGAUAAAACACUUUUCAAGCUGUUUCCUCUUGGGGCAUAGCUCCUAACCUCAUACAGAGUCGAAGAUGCCCCGUCAAGUUCAUGUCACCAUCCUUUAAAUUUUCUCGUCUGGAAGUCACUUGUCCGCACGUUCCAGUUCGACAAUAUCUUCAACAGCAGCAAUCGGAUGGCCGGGCGUAACGAACCACAAGAUAGAUGAAGCGAGGAAUCAAAUAAUUUUGGGGUUCCACGGGGUUAUCACUUUGGUUUUCUCCCCGUAGUGCACACCUUUUUUUUUUUUUUUUUUAUUUAAUAAUUUGUAAGCGAAAGGUUAAGUUCCUACUUACAAUUUCUCACAUCUUAUCAUCUAAUCCAAUCAUCCGACUACUCGUGGUGGUGCACUUGAAUGAAGCCAUGGUCAUUUCUCUCUUUUUUUUUUCCGGAAGUUUGGAUAGAAUCACUCCGAUCACACCAUUGGAGUCUAAACCUACUUCCGGAAUCAGAGACACGGGGGAUUUCUUGCACAUCCAAGACCUUUUGUUCGAAAAUGCUCUGUCCUUACCGACUGGUCUAAUUGAUGUUAGCACAAUGCCAUGAUUUCAUUACCACUAGGUGAUAUAUACAGAACUUUUCAAUCACUCAUGGCAAAAUCUCUUUUCUUUUCCAUUUUCUUGGGAUCCUCUUCUUUUUGCUCCCCCACCCCACAAUGGAUUUGGAUAAAUAAAACUUGGCCCGGCUCCUUAUUUUUUUUGUUUCACGAUCUCAACUUGUUUUGCAACUAGGGUUGGCUCUCAUUGAUAAUAUCCAUUACAAAUUAUUGGAAUCACUAACUAUAUACAUAUAUAUAUCCAAGAGCCAAUCAGUUGCCUAAUAUUCUUCAUUUCUCCGGGUAACACAUUAAAAUUCCUGUCUGUAGACUUCAUUGAUGGAAACUCAUAUGAACUACUCAAAUGAUGUGCUAUCACAGUCUGUUGAUCAAUUAAAUGGUCCAAGUUUUAGUUGAUGGUCCUCGCAACAGCUGGAUUGAUAUCAUUAAUUUCAUUUCUCUACUGAAUUUACAGCCAUCAUCAAUUUACGAAGGACGCACAUAUCAUGAACACUCAAUCAAUAUUUCUUUUUCCCUUUUAAAUGAAGGACCAUUUAUAAAACCUGCAGCCCAUUAAUUUUCCCCUGUAUAAAACCCACAGCCCUACAGGCAUCGUUAUCAUCUAAACUUAAAUGCAAAAGGGGUCGAUUGAGAUUGGAAGGCAGCAAUAGUGAAAUGGAUGGAGAGAUGCACGCACGUGCGCCUUCGACUCAAAUUGACAGCGUAUCUCACAGCACAAAGUCGCCUGUCCGGAGAGACCUGCCCGCAAUUUGUUUGGUUAACGUUGUCCGGGACUUGAGCUGGUUUUAACUCUGUACGGGAAGAUAUAUAUAUAUAUACAUACAUAUGUCUCUAAGGCGAAGGGAAAUUUUAACUAUAUGUUGCUAGCUAGGCCUAGGCGUUUACUGCUAAAAGUAUAGACUUGUAAUUAAAGGGGCUGAAAAACAGAAAAGACAUUUUCAAUUGAGAGUACGUCGAGCCUCCGCGUGAAUGGUCCAGCGGCAGCGCUUUUCGCCAGUGAAUCUUGAGGUCACAAGUUCGAGUCUCCGCUCCGCUGAAUUUCUCCGCGCACUUAACGUGUUCAGGUCUGGUUGGAGCGCCGGGUCCGGGCCGUAGGGGAUUAAUCGGACUCCGUAAGGAUUGAUUCGGACACCCCUGUAUCGACAAAAAAAAAAAAAAAAAUUGAGAGUACAUCGAAGAUGGUGAUCCUCGAAAAAGGCUAUCUAUCUUUUUUGCUUUUUAUCAGCGGAAAAAAGAGUGAAAGUGGAUUGAAGUUCAUUGGAGACGGAGGAGGUUAUGAGGGCAAGAAGGAAAAACAAAAGAGAAACAUUUUGAUGCAUGCACGAGAAGUAUGUUUUUGGUUGCAUUACCAUAAACGUAAUUGCAAAUUUUUUUGAUAAUGUCGAUGCAAUGAACUUUUCCUCAGCUCCUCCUACGUUGCCAAACACUUAAAACCUAAAACAAAAAACUUUUCCAUAUACAGGUAGGGCAGCAAGGUAAACAAACUUGGCCAAUUCACUAGUGCUUUUCAGCUUCACUCCACUCAAAGACAGUCGAUCAACUCAUGUUCCAAAUUGGAGUUUGAAAGAUAUUAUUUAUUUCUAAUAUAGAAUAGAGUGUGUGAUUGAAUCAUAUCAAACAGUUUCAACAUUGAGUAGUGAGUGCUAGCACUAUAACCAUACUACCAUUAUGUGAACACUAAUCUAGAAAAUUAACUAUUAAGUGAGUGAAUAUUACUGUAAGAUGAUAUCGAUUUUACGUUUAAACAGUAGUGUCGAAUAUAUGCUUUUAGAUAUUCCAUUUCUUGUUCCUGGCUUUAAAUACUAAUAAGUAAAUGUUGAUUAAGAAUUUGCUCAACGACAAAAAGUGUAUUUAUAAGGAAUUGAAAUCUAUAAGCAGGUAAUUGAAAUGUCAAUUAAGCUACUUAAUUCUCCAAUCAAAUUUUCUCAUUGCCAAUGAUUUGUAUUAAGUUGAAACGAAAAAAAAAAUAUUUAUAUUGUGUUCUUCAAUGUUUAAAACCCCUUCUAGCUCGAUUAGAUUACUACAAAGUGUGUGGAUUAAUUAAGCUAUUGAGAUCCACUAAAGCUUGGCACGGUGAAAUCCCUUUGAUCCAUAAUCAACCACUCCAAAUAAUCAAGCAGUAUUGAAUACGAUCUACAGUGCUUAAUGCAGGGGGGCCACGGUGCAGGUGGCGGGUGCAAAUCCCGAAAGGACGAACUAAUCAAGAUGUAUGGUACUGGGCCCCGACCCCCAGACCCAACCAAUUCCACGUAGCCCAUAAAAGUGAUAAAACUCCCUCACCGAACCCACCCUCCAGCGUUAAUUUAACGGACGUUCCUAGUAAAAAAGGCCGACCACCACCCCGCACCCCACCCAACCACAAACCCAGCACAGCCCCCGCCAAUCCCACGAUUACAUGAAGAACACGUAUCCGUCUCUCCAUGCUCAAAUGACCUUUAACAAGACGUUUUUGGUAGUGGUUCGCGGUGGUUCUUUCCGCCGUAUGCUGUGGUGAUGGUGGUUACUCUCAAGUCUAAAAAAAAAUGUGAUUUCUAUAAAGUAUAAACAAUUCACAUAAUAAGCACACCCUUUCGAGAGAGUACUCGUUUGGCAUUUGCCAAUUUGUUGUUGGCUUUUGUUUUCUCCCAGAAAUAGUCAUACUUCAAUAUUUACUUUGAAGUACUAUAUAAUAUUCUCCUUUACGUAUAUUCUUUUUUGCAAACAUCGGGGACGACGGGUAUCGUAGAAAUCAGAAGCUGGGUUGUGCUUUGUGUGUGGGAGACAUCGAAACGUGAAUGGGUUUUAUCUUUAAGUAGAGUAAGCCCUUGGCAUCUGCGUUUUCUUAUCUUUUUAAUGUAUAGUUUACUAUGUCAGGGUAUGUGCUAAUUAUUAUUGUCUGAAUGUGAAAAAGUUGGAUCUUUAUCUCGUUCUGUCUCUGCAUUGACUGAGUAAGAUUUCUAAUAUGACUGGUUUUGUUGGGCUGUUGAGAAAAUUUUGGAGCAAAAGAAAGGAUUUUGAAGUGGCAAUCACAACUGGGAUGCGAAAAUUUUGUGAUUCCAUUUGUUAUUUGCACGGCAUUAUAUCAACUACCCUUUUGAUUCGCAAGCAAUAAGGAUUUUUUUUUAAAGUUUGAAUAGUUCCUUUUCUUGAUUUAAGUACACUGUUUCUUAUCUUACAAGCACGCUUGCAGAAGUUGCUAGGUUUCUGAGUUUAAUGAACACUACUGGUCACGGUGUUAACUGGAAAAAACUUGGAACUUGAGUGUUACGCUUGGCUGUUUUCGCAGGUUGCAGUGUGGAAUGUGGUAUUUGGUGCAGGCCCUAAAUUCUGUUCGUUGAAAAUCUGAACUUUCAGACUCAUCUUCAGGUAAAGAAAGGCUGAAAAAGCUACCAUCAAAAGAAUCGUGGUUUUCUUUUCAUUAUUUCUGAUUGGUGAUGUCUUGCUGCUUUUGUUAUAAAUUUUGGGAUGCGUGAUUGACUUUUACUGAUUUUGAAUUGGAUUUUGUGAAAUUUGUUUGUGUGAAGAAAGAUAAGAGUGUUUGGAGAAUGUCGUUGAAGUCCAUUUUUAGAGAGCUUAGGGGAAUAAGCAGUGGCAGAGAGACUAAUUGGAGGAAGCAAGGGGAGAAGAAGUCUGUCCUAGGCUGCGGGAGAUCACAUAUAGCUCCUGAAAGUCCACAACCAUCCGUAUUUGCAGUUGUUCAACAAAGUCGGUGGGCGAAUUUGCCUAUCGAGUUGCUUUUUGAUAUCAUUCGCAGAGUUGAGUCCAGUGAGACCUCAUGGCCUGCCAGAAGGGAUGUGGUUGUUUGUGCUGCUGUUUGCCGGUCCUGGAGAGAAGUAACUAAGGAAGUUGUUAGGACCCCUGAGCAAUGUGGCUUGCUCACCUUUCCCAUGUCACUGAAGCAGGUAAUCCGUCAGCAUCAAAAUUCUUUUAUUUGUCUUCGGAGGUCUGUCAGGUGUAUUAGUUUCUAGCACAUAGCAAGAUUGAAGUACCAUCCUGAAUGUCCAAGGGCAAGGAUAACUAACAGUUUCUUUUUUCUUCUGGGUGCUACCUUUUGUACUUCUAUUAGCCUGGGCCAAGGGAUUAUCCAAUCCAAUGCUUUAUCAGAAGAGAAAGAGGAACUUCGACAUUUCGCUUGUAUCUUGGAUUGAGUCCUGGUAAAUGAUGCUAUCCUCGCCUUAACAAUUACUAUUAUUCUUCUUAAUUUAAGGAAUUUUAUAUGAUUUGUCCUCCUUACUUUUUGCUUUAUUGUGGAAUUAACUGUCUUCCACAUUUGAAGGAUUUAUCCAUAACCCGAUUUUUAUUGGGCUUUAUUUAUUUUUCUUAGAACUGAUAAAUCAGAUACUUACAGCAUGCCUCCAUCUAUUUACUACAUGAGCUGGUUAUUUCGAUGUUAUAACAGCACUUUCAGGAAAUGCUAGUAAACUGUUGUUAGCGGCUAAAAAGAUUAGAAGAGCCACAAAGACUGAUUUUGUGAUAUCCUAUUCUGCUGAUGAUUAUUCUCGAGCUAAUGAUUAUUACGUUGGAAAGUUGAGGUUGGUUUUUUAAAAUUUUCUUUUCUGGGUCAUCCUUGAUUUUUCUCAUGCAACUAAUUAGUUUCCUUUAAUAGGUCCAAUUUCCUUGGCACCAAGUUUAUUGUGUACGACUCUUAUCCUGCAUGCAACUCUCCAGUCUCUUCAAGUGGCCAAUCACAUGUAAGGAUCCCUUCAAAGAAGGUCCUGCCAAGGUUACCUCUUGGAAACUACAGUACAGCUUCUAUAUGCUAUGAGCUGAAUGUUCUUCGCACAAGAGGGCCAAGAAGAAUGCAUUGCACCAUGCAUUCAAUUCCUGCCUCUACACUUCAAGAAGGGGGUGCUACUCCAGCUCCAGAAGCAUUUAGGAAUUGCCUGGAUGGAGAAUCCUCUUCUUGUUCAUUUGUAAAAGGGAGUACUCAAGAAUCAACUUUCAUUAAACUCCCUCUGCCCCCAGAAUCAAUUCAGAGCACUAAGAAUCCACUGGUCUUGAGAAACAAGGCGCCUAGAUGGCAUGAGCAAUUGCAAUGCUGGUGCCUAAAUUUCAAAGGGCGUGUUACUGUGGCCUCUGUCAAGAACUUUCAGCUGGUGGCAGCCAUGAAUCCAUCUGAGAUUAUUCCAGUUGAAGAACAAGAUAAGGUGAUCCUACAAUUUGGAAAGAUUGGAAAGGAUAUCUUUACAAUGGACUAUCGAUACCCCCUCUCUGCCUUCCAGGCCUUCGCAAUCUGUUUAAGCAGCUUUGACACUAAACCAGCAUGCGAGUAGUUGUACCAUCUUGCUUUUUCCAAAGUUAGUUUUUGUGUGUAAAUAUACCAAAGGAAGCCUGUUUGAGCUUCGUCUUUAGAUAGGAUGAUUAUGUGUGAAAAUCCAAACAUUUAUGUUCAGUUUUCAAAUGUAUCUGAUCCUCAAAAGUGUAAGUUAUCGUGAUUUUAUUUCCCAGAAGUCUGUAAUGUUUUCAAAGUUAUUGGAGUCUUACAUUUUUAAUGUUGCAAGUAGGAUCUAACUUUAGAUAAGGAAAGAUUGGCUAGUAGCUUUAACUGAGUCCUUUUGGGAUUGGAGAUUUAUAUGUAAUUUUACUACCACAGAAUAUCCUUGUUUAUAAUGAAUUCAACAACAUAAUGCAGGUAAAACCAUAUCAUUCUGGAACCUAUGACAUCCUUACUACUAUUUACUUUUGUUCGAUUUAAAGAAUGUCUUCACAGAUACUAUGAGGAUUUUGUUGUGAAUAUGUGAUGUAUGCACAUUUAUUUCAUAUGUAUUAGCAUGCUAGUAUGGUGUUCAGGAUAUUGCUUGCUCAGUGAGCAUCAAUGUUGUUCUCUUUACUCUUCUCCUUGCAGCCAACACGACAACCAUGACGUCGAGGCUUCGCAGCAUCCAAGUCAGAAUCACUUGACUCCAGAAACAGGCCUCUGAGACAUCUUCUUCUGACUGUAGGCUCUUGAGUAAGUUUUUGGGAGGGGGUCAUGUUGAAUUCAGCCUUUCGUGUCUCAAUGAGCUCUGGUUUUUGAGACAGCUUCUUUAAUUCUGUUGGACAAUGCGAGUGAAUCAGGUGGACACCAGGAUUUCCUUCCGUUAUGGAUGUGUUGAAUAAAAUUGAGUUGUUGAUACCCUGUGCAUUGCUGUUCACAUAUGCCUCUGAUGCUUGAUCUUCUUUGGCAUUUGAGUUGUCAGAUUGUCUGUUGAAACUCUCCUCUCCAUCAGUUGUUGCUUCGGUACUGUCAUCAGGUUUGAUCUUAUAGCCUCUGCGAAUGUGGAUUGACCCUUCUUUCUUUGAUGUGUCAAAGCCUACAUGCAUUGAUGCUCCCCUAUUUUCACCAGCAAGAGUGAUUACACUCACUGGCCUGUCAUCUAUGGAGUGCUUGGAAUCCCCAAUAGCCAUCUUAUUAACAAGCUUUGAAAUGUCGUCUCUGAUCUCUUUGUGCAGGGACCUAUGGUCUCCACUGGAGUUACUUUGUUUCUGUUGACUGUCAGCCAACAUGGUUUUGUUUCUUGGAUGGGCGGUUGGUAUUUUGUUUUCUUUGCCAUUAGAAGCAGAUGUUGCUGUCAUCUCCUUUCUGGCAAUAGUCUUCUGUGCUUGUUCUGACUGAAAUGGAAUGGUAGAUAGGUCUUUAGUCUGCACUGUCUGCCCCUGUUCCACCUUAAGGUCACUUCCUAUAUGCCUGGCUCUGUCAUGUGCCUUGUCUUUAAUGUCUUGCAUGACUUCCUUCACCUCUUUGGGUUCCUCUGGUUUCAUAUCUUUAGAGAAUGAUUCAGGUUCACCAUUGACAGUCGAAGAAGUUGAUUUCUGUGUUACAACAGGUGUUUCUGGACCUUUAGUAGUAGUGAACACGUCUGCUGCUAUUUUCCCUGAUUCUUUUAAAGGCCGCUGUGUCAUCUCAUUGGGUUGAACAAUGGUUUUAAUUGGGGCUCGAUCUUGAGAGUCAUGAAUGUUAUCUGCAGGGACUGCUGUCUUUGGCUGAAAUUCAAGAGGAAGUGAUUCGGAUACUGCUGAUUUUGGUUCUUGUUUAUCAGAGGGAGAAAAACCUUCAGUGGAACUGGCAGAAGAUUGAGAGUUCUUCUGAGUUGGGCUUUGCUCUGUUUUCAGUGGAGAAGCAAGCUGGGUGGCAGCUGCUGUUGUGGGUUGCCGUUGAGCAGUUGUGCUAGAUGGAGGAGGAGGUGGAGAUGUCUGGCCUGCCUGGAUAGGGGCUAAUGAAGGGGACCUGGGCUGUGUGGCUGUUUGGGGUGUUGAUGGGAGCUCGGUUGAUCUGCGAGAUGGAGAUGAGGGUAGAGAUACAGCUUCUUGUUGAGGGGCUGCAUGAGGUGGAGCCGAGGGCUGGGAAGGAGCUCGCGAUUGAGUGUCUACACGAGACAGAGACGCUGGCUGAGAAGGGACUCUGGGUUGAGUGAUGGCAGGAGAUGGUGAUGAAGGCUGCGAUUCAGUUCUGGAUGUCUGAGAUUGAAGAUGAGGGCCCUGUGCUGGGGCUACGGCUGGAGGCCUGUAUGGUGGCCUUUCAGGUGCCUGUGGAGUGGGUGUCUGGGUAGGUCUUGUAGUUAUCGUAGGCUGGGUAACUGUUGCUCUUUCAGCCGUUUGAGUAGUGGGAGCAGGGGUUGUAGUGGUGCUCGGCUGGGAAGGGAUUUGGGUUUCAGCUGUUUGAGGCAUUGCAGGGGGAGCGGUGGUAGAGAUGGAGGGCUGGGGAGGGGCUUCAGUUGUUGCAGCUGUUUGUGGCGUGGUUGGGGGAGGGGUGAUGGUGACGGAGGGCUGGGGAGGGGCUUCGGUUGUUGCAGCUGUUUGUGGCAUGGUUGGGGGAGGGGUGGCAGUGACGGAGGGCUGGGGAGGGGCUGGGGUUGCAGUUGUUUGUGGCAUUGUUUGGGACGGGGUCGUAGCAGGAGUAGGCUGGGCCGGUGGCCUGGGGGGAAAUGUUGGACGUGGGGGUGGUGCAGCUGGUAACCAGGGAAGACGAAAGCGGAAUGCUGGUCUUUGGUCUGCCAUAGAGGUUUAAAGGAGUGACCUAUGAAGUAAAUAACUGAAUUUUGAGCCCUAAGAGUUGGUUGCCUGGCAUAAGGAGCGAAAUGCAACAUAUAUAGCUUCUCAUAUGAUUCUUUGGAAAGUUUGUAAGUACAUUUGGUCUGCUUACUUGUCAUUGUUUCCUUCUUUGCCUGCCUUGUCUGAUUUCCUUAAACUGAUUUUCCUUGGCAGAUCAGCUAGCAUCUUUUUCAGUAGGCCAAUGAACUCACUCUUGGGAAUUCAUCACGGCAUGUCUUUACAACUUUGUGGUGAGAUCUUACACUGUUUUUUUGUUUUUCCUCUUCCUCUAGAGAGUAGAUUAGCAUAUUCUUCUCUCGUUCUUGGCCAAACCCAAACCCAACAGUUUGCGCCACAUACAUGUGAAACAUGUGGGGACUUUUUGUGUUGAUAGUAUGCCAAGGUUUAUUAAUACUUGAUUUAUUAAAAAGAAUAAAGAAAUUUUUUUUUUUUUUUUAAAAAAAAAAACUACACUUCAAGAAGGGGGUGCUACUCCAGCUCCAGAAGCAUUUAGGAAUUGCCUGGAUGGAGAAUCCUCUUCUUGUUCAUUUGUAAAAGGGAGUACUCAAGAAUCAACUUUCAUUAAACUCCCUCUGCCCCCAGAAUCAAUUCAGAGCACUAAGAAUCCACUGGUCUUGAGAAACAAGGCGCCUAGAUGGCAUGAGCAAUUGCAAUGCUGGUGCCUAAAUUUCAAAGGGCGUGUUACUGUGGCCUCUGUCAAGAACUUUCAGCUGGUGGCAGCCAUGAAUCCAUCUGAGAUUAUUCCAGUUGAAGAACAAGAUAAGGUGAUCCUACAAUUUGGAAAGAUUGGAAAGGAUAUCUUUACAAUGGACUAUCGAUACCCCCUCUCUGCCUUCCAGGCCUUCGCAAUCUGUUUAAGCAGCUUUGACACUAAACCAGCAUGCGAGUAGUUGUACCAUCUUGCUUUUUCCAAAGUUAGUUUUUGUGUGUAAAUAUACCAAAGGAAGCCUGUUUGAGCUUCGUCUUUAGAUAGGAUGAUUAUGUGUGAAAAUCCAAACAUUUAUGUUCAGUUUUCAAAUGUAUCUGAUCCUCAAAAGUGUAAGUUAUCGUGAUUUUAUUUCCCAGAAGUCUGUAAUGUUUUCAAAGUUAUUGGAGUCUUACAUUUUUAAUGUUGCAAGUAGGAUCUAACUUUAGAUAAGGAAAGAUUGGCUAGUAGCUUUAACUGAGUCCUUUUGGGAUUGGAGAUUUAUAUGUAAUUUUACUACCACAGAAUAUCCUUGUUUAUAAUGAAUUCAACAACAUAAUGCAGGUAAAACCAUAUCAUUCUGGAACCUAUGACAUCCUUACUACUAUUUACUUUUGUUCGAUUUAAAGAAUGUCUUCACAGAUACUAUGAGGAUUUUGUUGUGAAUAUGUGAUGUAUGCACAUUUAUUUCAUAUGUAUUAGCAUGCUAGUAUGGUGUUCAGGAUAUUGCUUGCUCAGUGAGCAUCAAUGUUGUUCUCUUUACUCUUCUCCUUGCAGCCAACACGACAACCAUGACGUCGAGGCUUCGCAGCAUCCAAGUCAGAAUCACUUGACUCCAGAAACAGGCCUCUGAGACAUCUUCUUCUGACUGUAGGCUCUUGAGUAAGUUUUUGGGAGGGGGUCAUGUUGAAUUCAGCCUUUCGUGUCUCAAUGAGCUCUGGUUUUUGAGACAGCUUCUUUAAUUCUGUUGGACAAUGCGAGUGAAUCAGGUGGACACCAGGAUUUCCUUCCGUUAUGGAUGUGUUGAAUAAAAUUGAGUUGUUGAUACCCUGUGCAUUGCUGUUCACAUAUGCCUCUGAUGCUUGAUCUUCUUUGGCAUUUGAGUUGUCAGAUUGUCUGUUGAAACUCUCCUCUCCAUCAGUUGUUGCUUCGGUACUGUCAUCAGGUUUGAUCUUAUAGCCUCUGCGAAUGUGGAUUGACCCUUCUUUCUUUGAUGUGUCAAAGCCUACAUGCAUUGAUGCUCCCCUAUUUUCACCAGCAAGAGUGAUUACACUCACUGGCCUGUCAUCUAUGGAGUGCUUGGAAUCCCCAAUAGCCAUCUUAUUAACAAGCUUUGAAAUGUCGUCUCUGAUCUCUUUGUGCAGGGACCUAUGGUCUCCACUGGAGUUACUUUGUUUCUGUUGACUGUCAGCCAACAUGGUUUUGUUUCUUGGAUGGGCGGUUGGUAUUUUGUUUUCUUUGCCAUUAGAAGCAGAUGUUGCUGUCAUCUCCUUUCUGGCAAUAGUCUUCUGUGCUUGUUCUGACUGAAAUGGAAUGGUAGAUAGGUCUUUAGUCUGCACUGUCUGCCCCUGUUCCACCUUAAGGUCACUUCCUAUAUGCCUGGCUCUGUCAUGUGCCUUGUCUUUAAUGUCUUGCAUGACUUCCUUCACCUCUUUGGGUUCCUCUGGUUUCAUAUCUUUAGAGAAUGAUUCAGGUUCACCAUUGACAGUCGAAGAAGUUGAUUUCUGUGUUACAACAGGUGUUUCUGGACCUUUAGUAGUAGUGAACACGUCUGCUGCUAUUUUCCCUGAUUCUUUUAAAGGCCGCUGUGUCAUCUCAUUGGGUUGAACAAUGGUUUUAAUUGGGGCUCGAUCUUGAGAGUCAUGAAUGUUAUCUGCAGGGACUGCUGUCUUUGGCUGAAAUUCAAGAGGAAGUGAUUCGGAUACUGCUGAUUUUGGUUCUUGUUUAUCAGAGGGAGAAAACCUUCAGUGGAACUGGCAGAAGAUUGAGAGUUCUUCUGAGUUGGGCUUUGCUCUGUUUUCAGUGGAGAAGCAAGCUGGGUGGCAGCUGCUGUUGUGGGUUGCCGUUGAGCAGUUGUGCUAGAUGGAGGAGGAGGUGGAGAUGUCUGGCCUGCCUGGAUAGGGGCUAAUGAAGGGGACCUGGGCUGUGUGGCUGUUUGGGGUGUUGAUGGGAGCUCGGUUGAUCUGCGAGAUGGAGAUGAGGGUAGAGAUACAGCUUCUUGUUGAGGGGCUGCAUGAGGUGGAGCCGAGGGCUGGGAAGGAGCUCGCGAUUGAGUGUCUACACGAGACAGAGACGCUGGCUGAGAAGGGACUCUGGGUUGAGUGAUGGCAGGAGAUGGUGAUGAAGGCUGCGAUUCAGUUCUGGAUGUCUGAGAUUGAAGAUGAGGGCCCUGUGCUGGGGCUACGGCUGGAGGCCUGUAUGGUGGCCUUUCAGGUGCCUGUGGAGUGGGUGUCUGGGUAGGUCUUGUAGUUAUCGUAGGCUGGGUAACUGUUGCUCUUUCAGCCGUUUGAGUAGUGGGAGCAGGGGUUGUAGUGGUGCUCGGCUGGGAAGGGAUUUGGGUUUCAGCUGUUUGAGGCAUUGCAGGGGAGCGGUGGUAGAGAUGGAGGGCUGGGGAGGGGCUUCAGUUGUUGCAGCUGUUUGUGGCGUGGUUGGGGGAGGGGUGAUGGUGACGGAGGGCUGGGGAGGGGCUUCGGUUGUUGCAGCUGUUUGUGGCAUGGUUGGGGGAGGGGUGGCAGUGACGGAGGGCUGGGGAGGGGCUGGGGUUGCAGUUGUUUGUGGCAUUGUUUGGGACGGGUCGUAGCAGGAGUAGGCUGGGCCGGUGGCCUGGGGGAAAUGUUGGACGUGGGGGUGGUGCAGCUGGUAACCAGGGAAGACGAAAGCGCGAAUGCUGGUCUUUGGUCUGCCAUAGAGGUUUAAAGGAGUGACCUAUGAAGUAAAUAACUGAAUUUUGAGCCCUAAGAGUUGGUUGCCUGGCAUAAGGAGCGAAAUGCAACAUAUAUAGCUUCUCAUAUGAUUCUUUGGAAAGUUUGUAAGUACAUUUGGUCUGCUUACUUGUCAUUGUUUCCUUCUUUGCCUGCCUUGUCUGAUUUCCUUAAACUGAUUUUCCUUGGCAGAUCAGCUAGCAUCUUUUUCAGUAGGCCAAUGAACUCACUCUUGGGAAUUCAUCACGGCAUGUCUUUACAACUUUGUGGUGAGAUCUUACACUGUUUUUUUUGUUUUUCCUCUUCCUCUAGAGAGUAGAUUAGCAUAUUCUUCUCUCGUUCUUGGCCAAACCCAAACCCAACAGUUUGCGCCACAUACAUGUGAAACAUGUGGGGACUUUUUGUGUUGAUAGUAUGCCAAGGUUUAUUAAUACUUGAUUUAUUAAAAAGAAUAAAGAAAUUUUUUUUUUUUUUUAAAAAAAAAAAGACAUUGAUCUAUUCCUUUCUUUAUUAAACUAUGAGGUAAAGCUUAAAAGAUACAAAAAGAAAGGGAGAUUUUGGACAGAAGAAACAAUCAAACCAAAAGAGGAGACAGAAAACACAGGGGGUGACUUUUUACCUUUGGCAACAAUAAGAAGCAAAGUAGCAUGGGGCGUCAAAACAAAAAUUGAACAAACGUAGCCUUCCUUAACAUUUGUUGCUCAAGCAAAGAACAAAGAGGCAUACCCAUGUAACGGCUUCAUCAUAUUCUCAAAUAGGACCAGCUUUGUUGCUCAUGCAGAUUGCUCCUGCACGACAAGGUAUGUUCUAUUUGUUGCUUGCCUUAGACUUGGCAUGCCUGCAUCAGCCACACCUAUGAUAAAACGUAUGAAAUUUGCACAUUCAUCAUCAUUUGUAUACACCCAUCCACUGAAGUUUAUAGAGCAUCUUGCAAUAAGUAGCAAGAAUAUUAAUAUAUCCAGCAGCGUCUCUCCCUUUCAUAACUCACAGUUUUUUGUAUGAGUGUUUCGAUAAAUGGACCCUGCGAAGACACUUCAAAAGCCGGCAACUUUUGAAGUGCUCCGCAGCACUUAACUACUAAACCCCCCAAACCCCCCCAAGCGAUGUGGGAACUUAACCCCACAGGGUGCCCUGCUGCUAAGAAGUAAAGACCCCCAGACUCCAGCAGCGUCUCUCAUUUCUUAGCAUUCUAUGAACUCUUUUUGUGGCAGAAUCAACAUGCAAGGUUUCCUACAAGCCAUUAGAUCUUACCAAGAAAAGCUAUUAGGGCAUUCACUUUUGAGGAGUUCAACUGCAAUGAAAAACAAUCUCUUGCGACUUGGUUCCAUCAGCUCUUAUCUGACAGUUGAAGAGGGCACAAGGCCAGCGGAGGAGUCUUCACCCAUGCAACACAAAGGGUUGGAGAAUGUAACAGUAGCAGAAGUACUAAUGACAAAGGGAGGCGAAAAGGCUGGAUCUUGGCUCAGCUGUCGCGCCGACGACACAGUAUAUGAUGCUGUGAAGCAAGUCUGUUCCGCCAAAACUGAAGCAUCAUUGCGCAUAAAUAAUCUAUUUCUAUACUCGUAAUGGUAAAUUAAGUGAUUAUUAACAGAGAAAAGCAAUAAUCUUGCAGAUGGCACAAAAUAAUAUUGGAUCUUUGGUGGUUCUCAAACCAGGACAGCAACAACUCAUCGCUGGCAUUCUUACGGAGAGGGGUAAUGGAAUCUUUGCUGACUAGUAUUACAAAUUUCUUGCAAGUAAUACAUCUGCUAAUGUGGAAGUAAAUGGCAAACAGAUUACUUGCGAAAGGUAGUUGUGCAGGAUAGGUCAUCUAAAUACACAAGAGUCGGGGAGAUCAUGACUGAUCAGGUGAAUGCUUCCUUGUCCUCAAUACUAAAAUCUUCUAGAUACCUUUAACCAUUUCUUUUCCAUAUGUGGUCGAAAAUCUCCAUCCUUUCAACAGGAUAAUUUAGUAACAGUGACGUCUGAUACAAACAUCCUCCACGCGAUGCAACUCAUGACCGGUAACUAUUCUACUGAUUGAUUCAGUUAUAUGCAUGUAACACAUCAAAUGAUACUAAAAUAUAAUAUCUCCUUAAUGCUUGAAGAAUGAUUCAGAAAACAAAAAUCAUUCCACACUAGCAGCAUUCCUGCAUGCUUUUCCCAGACUGCAAAAAAUUUAUGGAUAACAGUUUUGAUGCGUUCCAGAAAACCACAUACGACAUGUCCCUGUCAUAGAUGGAAAGAUCGCGGGAAUGAUAUCCAUUGUAGAUGUUGUUCGAGCAGUGGUGGAGCAGCAAAGUGGAGAUAUGAAGCGGCUGAAUGAAUUCAUUAGGGGUGAAUACUAUUAGCCAUUGUGUACAGGUGAAGCAAGCAGCAGGGACUCCUGAAAUCAGCAGGGACUUCCAAUGGCUAAUUUUAUCGUCGGUUUAUCUCAAUCGUGGACCAAAGAUCAACAAUGGCAGAGAAAAUAAGAAGAUAAUCUUCAUGUUUGUGUAAUUUGAUAGUCACUACAAUGACCUGUAGUGAUGAUUUCUCGUCGUUUGCAAAUCCCUUGACCGUUACAAAUUACAAUAGAUGGCUUGCUACUCUCAUAUCUGCCUGAACCUUUCUAAAGGCCUGUCAAUCGGGCCUAAUGAGCCGGGCUUUGAUGAGUUCAAGUUCAGCUCAUUUAAUUUGAAACAUUUUCGGGCUUCGGGCUAUGAGUUUCGGAUUCGUAAAUGUGAAGCUCAUACUCAGCUCAUAUAAUAUUCGGGUUGUGAGCCUUAAUCGGGUUUAGCCCAAGCUCACUUAUUACUCCUUAAUUUUCUUAAUAUAAUUACUAUAACUAUUAAGUUGUAAAACUAAGUUAACAUUUACAAGACUAUAAUAUUAAAACUAAACAUGAACAAAUAAUAGUUCUUAAAAAGUAUAUAAACCAAAAAUUUAUUCAACAAUAUUUAUAUUUAAUCCAUUUAAAAUGCAUGAAAAAUAGUAAUAAAACAUGCGAUCAAAAGCCAAUACAUCUUUAAAAGUUGAAACUUUUUUUUAUAAUCUUGUGAUUUAAAUCCAAAUAUGCUUGAUGAUUUUUGUGUUUGUAGACCAAAAAAAAUCAACCAAUAAUAUGCCAAUACAAAAAUUUACUCAACCAAUAAGAAAAAUUAGAGAUUUAGUUAUGCAUUACUAAUAUUGGCUCUCAAGAAAUCUCAUGAAAGAAUCUUUAGAUGUAUUUUUGUGUUUUGUAAUUUAUAUAUAUAUUUAGUAUUUAGUAAAAAUAUAUUUGGAUAUAUAAAUAUACAUAAUAUCAAAAUAUAAAUAUUAUAUAUAUAGGUAAUUAAAGGGUCGGGCCUAUAUCGGAUUUGAGCCUAAUAAGGCCCAAGCUCGGCUCACAUUUAAUUCGGGCCUAAUUUUUAGGCUCAAUCUCAGACCGGCUCACUAAAUGAUCGGGCUCAUCGGGCUUUCUGUCGAGCCGAACGAGCCGAGCUCGGGCUGGCCCAGCCCUAUUGACAGUCCUUUCUUGAUAGGAACGAGACUUGUACCACAGACGGUAGACAUGCCUUUUCAAAGUAUAACGUGUGAAAAAAACUAGUCUGAUGCCUUUUCAAAGAUGUUAUACUAUUAAAAAAAAAAACAGCAGAAAAAACUACAAAGUAUACACCAAUGAUACAAGUGAGGUUAAGGACGCCUGCAGCACAAUUCCAAACAGUAGCCGAGAUAAUGAACAGUAGGAUUCUGCAUUAAAAUCAUUUGGAGGACCAUACCUUGGCAUUACCUAGAAUGCCAGAUAUAAAAGAACAUGCUGGAGGAAUUACAACGACAAAAGACAUCUUGACUAGAUUCCGAGAAUCAGCAAAAGCGUUCAGCACUAUCAUAAUUGACCACGUGCAAACUGCAAACAAAACAUGAGUAUCUGAAAAUUUGCUAUCUCUUUCCUUGCGUCUUGAGGCCUAUGGUUGAUGACAUCAUCGAUAUUUGGAGUGAUUCAGGAACUGAAAUUCCUUCAGCUUUCAUCAACGCAAGCAUCCUUUUAGCAUCUUCAACAAAUCCUCCAUCAUUGAGCCCUUGUAUAAUCCUCGUAAACCCUUCUUUCCCUAACUGAUCCUUCUUAGCCUCCAUGACUCCUAAAGCCUGAAGAGCCUUCUUCUCAAUCCCAGCCCUCGAAUACAUCUCACAAAGGCUGAUGUGAACAUUAAAAGGAGGAGCCUCGCCCAGCUCGGCUAUCUUAUUCAAUAAUUGUUCGGCUUCAUCAACCAUUUGCAAUUUACCUAACCAAUCCACGAAAACAGAGUAAGUAGCAACCCCAGGCUCAAAGCCGUCCUUUUCCAGCUGCAACAGAAGAUGCAAAGCUUUAUCCAAUAAAUUCUUCCUCGCAUAAGCAGCAAUCAUGCUAGCGGUGCACCUAUCAUCUGGCUUAAGUCCGAGUUUAAUAAUGUUAUCAAAAUUUUGCCUCGCUUUAUUAAGGUCACCAGUUUUUGCAUAUGCUUCAAUAACCAAUGUACAAGACUCCAAAUUAGGCUGGAUCCCAGCAAAAUGCAUACUGGAAGCAAUUCUCACAGCACCAUUAACGUCACCAAGCUGAGAAAAUGAUUUAAGUAACGCCAUAUAUAUUUCCUCAGUUGGUUUGAUAUCCCAUUUCUCCAGAUCUCUCAUUAAUGACUCCCCUGACUUUGGUAGGCCAGCAUUGAUGUAGGACGUGAUCAUUGAGUUGCAUACCCUCAUGUCUGGGUGUAAUCCUUGAUGCUUCAAGCUUUCAAAUGUCUCUUUGGCAGGUCAAGGUUGCCUGCCUUAGUGUACAUGUGGACCAAAGUUGUUAAUGUCAGAACGUCAGGUGAAAUUCCAUUUUCAUUCAUCUUCUUAAGUAUUCUCUCAACAUCUUCUGAGCGAUUUUCACAAGCAUGGGCAUCAACCAGUUUUGAGUAGUCACGUAUGUUUGCUUGGAAGGACUCUUCACCAAGUAUAAGCUCUGCAAUCUGAAGCAGUAAUGUAUCAGCAAACACCAUAUAACCAACCAUGACAGCAUAAUAAAGAAGACGACUAUGCCUCAGUUUUACUCCCACAUCAAAGCACGAGUUUCAUAAAUCAGCUGAACAAAAUAAUGUCCUGAUUUUGUAGCAGCACGACUUGUGAUAAGACAAAUUCAAACACCAACUCCAUGUCAAGGAAAUGCAUUCUUUCAUCUUAUUAUAAUAUUGGGCUGUGAUAUUUUCUGUCCUAAAGCACUAGAAGGUCAUUUACAAGACUCUGAAAAUGUGAGAUAAAGUUUCCAUCCUAUGGUUAGGAUUGAAUUCCAUAUAUUAGGGAACAGAAAGGAUCAGGUAGCUCAGAAGAGUGUCUCCCUAUGCAGAACUGCUCGUUCCCACAAUAGCUGUAAGAGACUUAUAUCCCCAUAUACCAUGACUCCAAUUAAACUAUUGUGCUAAGUACCUAACCAACAUCGCCAAAAGUUGAAAAUCUAGUAAACUGAAGUUCAUUUCCAGCUCAGAGAAAAGAUUAAGAGGUCAAUAAGGUUAGUGAAACAUCAUAGAAUAAUUAGUACCGUGCUGUCCCUAUAGUCAUAUAUAAUGAACCAGGAUGUUGGUCAAAACUCCCUUGAUCUAGAGAAAAGAUUAAGAGGUCAAUAAGGUUAGUGAAACACCGUAGAAUAAUUAGUACCGUGCUGUCCCUAUAGUCAUAUAUAAUGAACCAGGAUGUUGGUCAAAAUUAUUUUGUAGGUAUUAUCCUUGAAGAAAUUCUAGUUCAUAACGGUCAGAAUAUGAAAAAGUCCUUAAUAAGAAGACAAAGCAAGACUAAACUAUGAUGACAAAUCAAGAACCUCAUAAUGAAUUGUUAUACGUUGAAGGAAAAAAGUAUGACCAAACCUUCAAGUACAAGCCUGUACUUCUUUCCUUCAAUUUGUCAAGCAAAGUAAUCCAGUCAAUCCUGCCAGGCUGAAGCAGCUCCACCCAUUCAGCUAAAAGCUGAGAUGGAUCAUCUUCGAUUUGCAGAGAAAGAAUUUUGUCUGUAAGAAUUUUGCAUUUCCCAGAUAUUGGCUGUGGUUCUUGAGGCAAAAUAACUUCCUCAGUUCGAUGAAUUUUAUCAGCCACUUCAGCCCACUUAGAAUCUGAUAAAUCAAGACCAUAAAUCUUGUACUUCAACUUCCCAUGUCUCUUGGAAGUGUUACAACAUUAGGCACCUCCUCAUUCACACUAUCAUCUGAGCCAGCACCAAGAAAAACCCCGUCUUCCUCAGUAGCCCUGCUUUCUGAUUUUACUUCUUCUCGACCUUCUUUAGCCUCCUCCUUUAACUUUUCCAAACCCUCGUAAAACUCAGUUUGCUCCAUUUUCUCGCGAGCCCAUUUGAACCUAAGCUCCCUAAGCAUAUCUCCUCUGAUCCCAAUUUCCCCUGCAAACCUACACAUUUCUUUCACAUCGUCAGACUGCAAAAAUUUCUUCAUCUUUUCCUUCUUCUGGGCUUUCUGCAUAUCUUCCAAAACCACUUGACUAACCUCCCAAACAGUUCUCCACAAAUCUUCACUAAAAUCUUCAGAAGGGGUGGCCGCAGCUGUCCCAGUCAUUCCUUCAACACCACCUUUUUCCAUUUCUGAUACAACUUUCUCAACAAUAAUCAAAAGCAUCGCAUCGAUUGUCUUCCUGUCACUUUCCGGAUAAGCUUCAGAGAGCUUCCCCCGCAUUAUCCAAACAAAUCUUGACAAGAACUCAUUCGUAGCCUCAUCUUCCUCUAAUUCAUCGUCUUUAGAAGAGGAAUCCCUCAAAAGGGCUCCUUGAGAAGUGCUGAUACAUCUAUUGAAAAUCCAACUGGGCUGAACAAAGUUAUCGACUUCAGCUCUUGUUGAAUUAUUUGAUCGGUAGGCGAGGGAAGAAGAAGUACUGAAGUUGGCAUUUCUGGAAUUAAACAAUGGUCGCGGUAAAGACGAAACUUUUCUGCGAUUGAAUUUUGAUAUAUUGUUGAAUGUUUGCCUGCAAAUGAGGUUCUUGAGAUGCAUCUCUAACCCUCCUCCCUCAGUUGUGGUGCGUUUGCUUUUGCUUUGGGAAGGAUGACUUGGCUGAAAGGAGGUGAAGGGGUUUUAAGAGUCCAAAACCUUGGGUUAUAUUUUGGGAGCCUGCAAACCUUGGCUCUCUAUUGGGUUACAUUUUGCCAGCGAAAGAACCUGCAAAUCCAAUAGAGCUUUGGAUGGGUUGAGCCAUUUCCGGGAGCGACGUUUCCUUCAAACCUAUUUCACCCGUUCUACAAACAAACGAUAAAUUUUAACAAAGAGAAAGAGACCAAAAGAAAAUCAAAAUAAUGGUCGAAAAUUUAUUCUCUCUUUCCUUUUCAUUUUCUUUGCUUUUAACUCCCUAGUUGACUGACGGUUGAGUUGAAUAAUCAAGAUUAGAAUUGACUGAUUAAUUUAUAAAUCUGAUUUUUUCUUUUGUUAAUGUUAUGCAGAGAGGAUGGGUUGGCAUAAUUGUAAGCGCAGUGCAACUACACUAUGCAACACACGCCUCAAAUUAGGCCAGCUUAACUCGACUUGAUUUAGGCCGUGGAUUGCUCUCUAUGUGGAGUCCUUCUGCUAUAUCUAGUUGUGCCUCUCUUUAUAAGAUUAUUUCUAUAUUUUUCUUUUUAUAUAAGAGAUUUACCAUAUCAACUUUUAAUAUAAAUUUCAAAAAUGUGUUCUGCAUUCAUACUUGAUUCGACCAAAAUGGAGUAUUUGAGCUUCAUAUAGCUUGUUUCAACUUAGUAGUUUUUUUUUUUAAACUUAAAUUAAUUUAUUUUCUCCUUUCCAAAUUUUAUUUUUGAAAAGAUAGUCAAGUUUCAUAGCAUGAAAACGAGAAACAAAUUAUUUUGGUACUCAAAUUAAGCUAAGUGAUAGGCAUAAUUUGUGGUACAUUUAUAGGUAUAAGUUGUUAGUUAAUCAUGCUAUUUGAACUUUAUCUUGAGUUGAAAUUACUUAAUUUUGCUCUUAUAUUAUUCUAAUAGGUCAAAAUCUCAAUUGGAGAGAAAAUGGCUAAAAUGUGGUGCGAAGAAGUAAUGGAAGAACAGGUUUGAUAGGAUUGACAUGUUUCAUAUAUUUGCUGAUAACUUGAGUUACACAAAUUGGAUUGAAAUGAUUCUUGAUUCAUCUUAAAACUAAGAAAAUGCUCUUCAAAUCUUAUGAAGACAUCAAAGUCUGGUUUUCACAUUUUCAUAGCCAAAUAUUCAAAAUACUGGAGUACAGUUGCUCUGCAAAGUUCUUUUAACCAGUUAACAGUAUUUUGGGCAUAUCUCAGCAACCAAACCUCCAAAUGACUUGAUUCUUUGGCGUUGGAAAGUUAAUUCAAAGAGUUACAACUUUUAUGUUUUAAACAAGAGUUGAUUCGACCUCAAUGAUAGAGACUUUUAGUCUUGAAGUGGAUCUGCACACGGAUUUGAAACGAUUUGUCCACUGUUCUUUGAUAGAUUGCUCCGAUAUUCACGCGGGAAUUCUUCUGGUCAAGUCAUCCAAAGGAACUCUAGCGCCAGAGUUUAGGCCGGUGUUUGGGCCAGUGUUCAUUGGAAAAUGUGCAAAAUUGUAGCCUUUUAGUUCCAAUAAACUCAAUCCUAUCCCGUUUUGGAUACUAUUUUAAGAAACUAUAAAUAUGAGCUAUUUUGGACAUUUUUAGGGGUGGAAAACAUUAGUCUAAAUUAGUUUUAAUAUCUUUUCAUAAUUUAUUCUUGAGAGAUCAAGAUCAAACUAAGGCGAAUCAAUAGAGUGCGCUAGGAGAAGAUUGGAGUAAGCAAUUGAGAAGUUUUCUUAUUCUGUUUCUUAUCUUUGUAGUAACUCUUUGAAUUCGUAGUUUUAAUUUCCAAAUCAUGUUGAACUAAAUUGUCUCUAGGGUUAGUUUUAUGAGGAAAUUUGAUUAAUUUUUCUAGUUUAAUCUCGUGCCUUCUUCUAUGAUUUAUCUAUCUUGAUUUAAUUACAUGUUUAUGUUUAGUCACCAUAGAUAUGCUCUUAGGGUUUGUAUUGAAUUGAGAAAGGAGAUACAACCGUACACUAGAUAGAUAAAUAUGUUUAAUCUAAUCAUGAGAGUAGGUUAAAAUUUGUAUGACGCACUUAUAUUACCAAAGCUUUUAAAGAGUUUAAUUGAAUACUUGCAAUCUUGAGAUAGACAUAGGAUUUAAUUAGGCAUAUUUUAGAUGUAUCGAGAGAUAAUCUAAAAUACAAUUAUGCGAUGCAUUCAUGGUUUAUUGAGAAAUUAACUAAAUAAUUGACUCAAAAUCUGAAUUAAAACCUGAAUCCCUAGACUCGCAUCUAUUGUUUUCUCAUCACUACUCUAUUUGAAUUAAUUAUCUCUUUAUUGUUUAGUUAGAAAAAACCACUCCUUGAAUUCAGAUUUUGUUAUUUUAGAAUAAUUAAAGUAAAAAUUUAAUUUGUCCCUGUGGGUUCGACCCAAAAAUACUUCAAAUAAAUUAUUAUUACGAUUGACCCUGUGCACUUGUAAGAAAUUGUUGAUCACUAAGCUCAAUUAUUGCUUGUCCAAAUUUGAUUUGUCUAUUAAUCAAACUAAACAUGAACAAUAUUUUAUAUUUAGUAAAAUUUCAUAUUGAAUUAGUAUUUAGCUCGAUUAGUAUAAUAUUUAAAAUUUACGUGUAAGAAGGUUUAAACUACUCGAGCUCACUUGAGUUCCAUUGAAUAAAAGGGUUAAAUACCAAAAACCCCAUGUGAUUUGACUAAUGUUCACUUUACCUCCCUAUGGUUUGGAAACCUAUAAUUUAACUCCUUGUCGUUUCAACUAAAGUGAAAGUUUAACAGAAAACAUCUAAACUAACGUCUGAAAGGAAAAUAUCAAAAUUGCCCCUUUAUAAGUCAAACCCUUAGAAGAAUGUUUCGUGCAUUUGAGAAUGGGUAAAAUACCAAAAACCCCUCUGUGGUUUGCUAAAUGUACACUUUACCUCCCUAUGGUUUGAAAACCUAUAAUUUAACUCUCUGUCGUUUUACCUAAAGUGAAAGUCUGACAGAAAUACCAACGUCUGAAAGAAAAAUAUCAAAAUUGCCCAUUUAUAAGUCAAACCCUUAGAAGAAUGUUUCGUGCAUUUGAGAAUGGGUAAAAUACCAAAAACCCCUCUGUGGUUUGCCAAAUGUACACUUUACCUCCCUAUGGUUUGAAAACCUAUAAUUUAACUCUCUGUCGUUUUACCUAAAGUGAAAGUCUGACAGAAAUACCAUUAUUGUAGAUGUUUUCCGUCAGACUUUCACUUUAGUUGAAACGACGGGGAGUCAAAUUGUAGGUUUCCAAAUCAUAGGAAGGUAAAGUGAACAUUAGUCAAAUCACAGGGGGUUUUUGGUAUUUAACCCUUGAAUAAAAUUCACUUUACUUUAGCUAAUUAAGAUACAAGUCAAAUUUAUAUCCAAUUUCAAGCUCGUUAAAGUAAAAAACAAACUUGAGUAUUCUAUUCUAGUGUUGGACCUGAUUAAGUUGACCAAGAUUUCGAUCGAUAAGUCAACAGAGUCUGGAACAAGUUUACAUUUGCAAUGCCACCAUAUAUUUUGUAUGGUCUCGGACUCAUUUGACAACACUAUGCAAUGCAUGUGUUGGAUUGUUUAUUCUUCUAAGAUUCAGGGAGUAGAACAUGUAGCAUUCAUGGAAGUACUCUACUGUCCCAAUGGUCAAGCUCACAAAGAAAGUUUAAUCUACUUCACAAUUCCAUUCAUUGCCUCAAACCCUCAAAAAUGAGUUUAGGACUGGAUCAUGUGUCUCACGCAUUCUUCUGAAGUAGAAAGCUACUACUCUUUUUUUUUUACUUUGUCUUUGUGUGCCUCUAGCAAAUAUUCUUGUACAUAUACUGGAUAGUCAAGGUAUAUUUCGACAAUUAAAUUUAGAAUCACAUAUUCUUGAAAAGAACAGUUUCUAGCAACUAGCCUAAUUUUUCAAAAUUUUCCUUCUCGUAGGACAAAUUGGUUCACAUGGUAAUCAAAAGUUAGGCAGGAGACGAAUCAAUUUAAGGGAAAAAAAACAUCGGAUCCUUUAGGAUUUAUGGGAGAUCAAAAGGGUGAAUAAACGAAGCAUAAUUCUGGCAAUGCAAAAUGCAAAAGAAUCUUCACCUCUACUUGUUUGAUUCUGUGCCAAGUACUUCAAGUUGAAGCAAUGACCAAAGAAUUGCGUGAUCCAUGGUCAGCACUUCAAUUAAAGAGCUCAUAAAUGAUAAAACUGGGUGAUGAGCUAUGUACAAUUCAAGAUUCCCAUGCCAAGCAAUUUUUCCUUGCAAGCUUUAUGGAGAUAGUUGAUUGGAAUUAUAUGCAUUUGUCCUCAAAACUGUGACCACAUUAGUGAAAGUUACUCUGUGGUCUGUAAUCAGACCGUUUAACUCUCACUUUGUCCUUCUCCUUUGAAAGACUUGGAGUUUUUCUUGACUGAAAACAAAUACCAUACAUUUAAUUAUCGUGUAAAAAGAGUGAUCAUGACAAUGCUUGAUUAAAACUUUUGUCACAGAGAGGUUUUUUUUUUUU
rnacentral:lncRNA from 1 species